UACGAAGGGGGCUAGCGUUGCUCGGAAUCACUGGGCGUAAAGAGCGCGCAGGCGGUCGUUCAAGUCGCGUGUGAAAGCCCCCGGCUCAACUGGGGAGGGUCACGCGAUACUGAUCGACUCGAAGGCAGGAGAGGGUAGUGGAAUUCCUGGUGUAGCGGUGAAAUGCGCAGAUAUCAGGAGGAACACCGAUGGCGAAGGCAGGUCUCUGGGCCAUAACUGACGCUGAGAAGCGAAAGCAUGGGGAGCGAACAGG
rnacentral:rRNA from 1 species